CAUCCCGCUCUCUGCCCCCAUCUUUUAGCAGAUGUUGUGCUGGGGGUUGGUGCUCCUAGAUCUUGUUCUGCUCUGCUGUAACGACGGUUCUAAUUCUGCAUCAUUCCUGGAACGAGUUACUGACUCCCCUAGAAGUAGCUGGAAGCCUCUGAUAUUGCCAUCACGAGGUGAACAGAUCUUCUCUGCAGUGUGCCCCCAACAUGAUAUACUAUGCUGCCAUAGCCUAAAAGUAACAAGGCCAAACAUCCAUGGGCUGAAACCUCUGAAAUUAGCCAUGAAAAUUUCCAGAUACAAGGCGACCAUGUGCUCUGGCGGCAGGAAGAGGAGGAGGAGGGGAAGAAAUUUUAUGGAGCAGGCAUCAUCCUGAUGAAUGAGGGGCAUUCCUGGAAGUUCAAUCCCCUUUUCAAAAGAUUUGUUUAGGAAUAGGCACAACUGGAAAGAUGUUGCUGGUAUAUGCUGAGAAAGUUUUCCUCUCUCUUAAGAAAAGGGGUUCAAGGAAGGGAAUUAUAUUCUUUUAGUCUUUGGAAUAUUGUUGACUAAGGGUAUGAUGUAGAGCUUUUAAAGCAUUUUAGAGUUUUGAGAUGAAUGGCCAUGAUACUGAGGGGAGCAGAGAAGUAUGAAAAGAACACAGUGAUGUAGCCUUGAAAACCCUCUGCCUCCAAUUUAUGCUUAUAUGAAGUAACAAAAUGUACUUACAUUUAAAAGUUACUGGAAUAGGUUCUCUGCUACUUGCUGUUCAAAUUGCUGCUCUUACAGAAUGAGUUCUUAAUAAGGGGUAUAAUGGGGGAGUACCAUAUAUAUAUGUGGUGAAAGAAUUAUAAACUUCUAUGUAGAAAAAAACAUUUGUACCUAAAAUCCUAAUCAUUGAUUAAAUAUUAAUCAGUAUUCACUUGCUUUUGGUUGGAAUGAGAAGAAUGUUCCUAGAUGCUGACCAGGUAUGGAGAUGCUCUGACCAUUAUUAUAGAUAAAAUAUAUUAGGAAGAAAUUCAAUGAGGUGAUGCUAUUUAAAAUACUGAUUUUCCCCCACCUAUUUCAUUUAACGAUGCAAAAUGCAUGCCCAUUUUAAGAGCACUGGAGAAUUGAAAUGACUGCUGGGAUAGUUCUAAAACUGAAAUAUCUGUAAGAAAGAAAUGUUUUCUUUUUAAACAAUUAUGUCUAAUUAUAUUUAAG